AUUGAACGCUGGCGGCAGGCCUAACACCUGACAGUCGAGCGAGCGGCGGACGGGUGAGUAAUGUAGGGGGAAUGCCCGAUAGAGGGGGAUAACUACUGGAAACGGUAGCUAAUACCGCAUACUCUCGGAUAACCAAUAUGGGAUUAGCUAGGAGGUGAGGUAAUGGCUCACCUAGGCGACUAUCCCUCGCUGGUCUGAGAGGAUGAUCAGCCACACGGGGACGGAGACACGGCCCAGAUUCCUACGGAUACAGCAGUGGGGAAUAUUGCAGUAUGGGCGCAAGCCUGAUGCAGUCAUGCCGCGUGUAUGAAGAAGGCCCUAGGGUUGUAAAGUACUUUCAGUCGGGAGGCGUUACCGACAGAAGAAGCACCGGCUAACUCCGUGCCAGCAGCCGCGGUAAUUC
rnacentral:rRNA from 1 species